AAGUCGUAACAAGGUCUCCGUUGGUGAACCAGCGGAGGGAUCAUUAACACGUAUCCACGUAUCAACCAACUGUGAACUUGUUUUCAUUCUCCCUGCCAAUAAUUGCAUGAGUUGAAUAGUUCGAGAUUAUGAAUGGGAACUUCGGUUCAAUCUCGGUACUAUAACCUGUCAAACUUUCAUUAGUUAGCAGACAACUGUAGUAAUAUAUGGUCAGGCCAACCUUCUGCUUUCAACUUCGCCUUUCAUGAAGUUGAUUGUGGGAACAUAACAAAAACCUAUAUCACACCUAUUUUGCUAGUUGACUUUUAUAUGUUGUUUCUUUCGUACUUCAUUGAAUGGAAGAAUCACACGUUUCUUAAUUGAACGUUAAAAUUACAACUCUUAGCAAUGGAUAUCUUGGUUCUC
rnacentral:misc_RNA from 1 species